GGAGAGGUGGCCGAGUGGCUGAAGGCGGCGGUUUGCUAAACCGUUAUACGGGUAAUACCGUAUCGGGGGUUCGAAUCCCCCCCUCUCCGCCA
rnacentral:tRNA from 2 species